AUCGAUCAUGGACAUGGAUAGCCUGUCCCUGCAGGACUACUUCAGCUGCCUGCUAUUGCUUGCUCUCCUCUACUCCCUAACCAAAUGUUUCUACACUGCAUCCGCCCGCUCCAGCGGCCAUCGCGGCCUCCGGCUCCCCCCGAGCCCAUGGCAGCUCCCUAUCAUCGGCAGCCUCCACCACCUGGCCGGCGCGCUCCCACACCGCUCGCUGCGCCGCCUCUCGCAGCGCUACGGCCCCAUCAUGCUCCUCCGGUUCGGCGAGGUGCCGGUCGUCGUCGUUUCCUCCGCUGAGGCCGCCAGGGAGGUCAUGAGGACGCACGACGUGCUGUUCGCCACGCGGCCCCAGCUCGCGGCCAUCAACACCCUCACCAAGGAAGGCCACGCCAUCGCGUUCACACCGUACGGCGAGCACUGGCGCCAGAUCCGCAAGAUCUGCGCCGUGGAGCUGCUCAGCGCCGCCCGCGUCCGGUCGUUCCGGCCCGUCCGCGAGGAGGAGGUGGCGCGGCUCGUCGGAGCCGUCUCGUCGGCGUCAGGUAACAAUUAGCUUAUGAACCUCAGCGAGAUGAUUGCAGCGUAUGUCGCCGACACCGCGGUUCACGCCAUCAUGGGGAGGCGACUCGACGACCGCGGCGCCUUCCUCAGCUACGUCGACGAAGCCGUUCGGUUGGCCAGUGGCUUCAGCCUACCUGAUUUGUUCCCGUCUUCAUGGAUCGCUCGAGCUCUGAACUGGAGGGAGGCGCGUAAGGCGGAGGUGUACCGAGAGGGAUUGUUCAAGUUUCUUGAUGCUGUGAUAACCGAGCAUAUGGAAAGAAAGUCGCAAGACAGCAACUCGCAGGAAGACUUGAUAGAUGUCCUCCUGAGGAUUCGAAGCCAAGGCUCAUCUCAGUUCCUUACUAUGAGCAUAAUAAAAGGUGUUGUUUUUGAUCUUUUCUCAGCUGGGACUGAAACUGCUGCAACAACGUUGCAAUGGGCCAUGGCGGAGUUGAUGAGGAACCCUGACAUGAUGUCCAGGGCGCAAGCUGAGGUAAGGGGAGCCUUCAUGAGCUGCGGAAAGGUUGUGGAGGAGGGAUUGAGAGAAUUGAAGUACCUGCAUUGGAUCAUCAAAGAGACCCUGCGCCUGCACAUUCCCGGCCCGCUGCUGAUCCCAAGAGAGUGCCGAGAAACUUGCAAGGUCCUGGGCUACGAUGUGCCCAAGGGUGCUAUGGUGCUCGUGAAUGCAUGGGCAAUCUCGACGGAUCCACAUUGCUGGGAGGAACCAGAAAGGUUCAAGCCAGAGAGGUUCGAGAGUGACACAAGAGACUUCAAAGGGAAUGACUUUGAGUUCACGCCGUUUGGAGCCGGACGACGUAUUUGCCCUGGGAUGUUAUUUGGGCUUGCUAAUGUCGAGCUUGCUCUUGCAAACCUUCUAUUCCAUUUUGAUUGGAGCCUACCUGACAGCAUUCGUCCCAGUGAACUAGAUAUGACUGAAGAUAUGGGAAUUACGGCAAGGAGAAAAAAGGACCUCUGGUUGAGAGCUACAGUGUGUUCGAAUCUGCCCCAUUAGAUAACUAUUUCAAUGUAUCAUGCUAAAAAAGACAGAAUUAUUUCAAUGCAUGCUUUGUAAUCCUUGGUUGGCCCUUUGCUUCACGCUCUUGGGCCAUCCAAUUAUAUAUGUACUAGUCUAUCAACCCAUUCUCCUGCACGGGCUAAUUAGAAUUAAUAUAAGAAUAAGGUCAACAAUUAUAAUUAUCUA